rnacentral:rRNA from 1 species
UACGUAGGGUGCGAGCGUUGUCCGGAUUUAUUGGGCGUAAAGAGCUCGUAGGCGGUUCGGCAAGUCAGCUGUGAAAUCUCCACGCUCAACGUGGAGGGGUCAGCUGAUACUGCUGUGACUCGAGUCCGGUAGGGGAGUGUGGAAUUCCCGGUGUAGCGGUGAAAUGCGUAGAUAUCAGGAGGAACACCUGUGGCGAAAGCGGCUCACUGGACCACAACUGACGCUGAUGCACGAAAGCUAGGGGAGCAAACAGG